rnacentral:rRNA from 1 species
UGAGUCGAGCGCCGUAGCAAUACGGAGCGGCAGACGGGAGAGUAACACGUGGGAACGUGCCCUUCAGUUCGGAACAACCCAGGGAAACUUGGGCUAAUACCGGAUACGUCCGAAAGGAGAAAGAUUUAUCGCUGAAGGAUCGGCCCGCGUCUGAUUAGCUAGUUGGUGAGGUAACGGCUCACCAAGGCGACGAUCAGUAGCUGGUCUGAGAGGAUGAUCAGCCUCACUGGGACUGAGACACGGCCCAGACUCCUACGGGAGGCAGCAGUGGGGAAUAUUGGACAAUGGGCGCAAGCCUGAUCCAGCCAUGCCGCGUGGAUGAUGAAGGCCCUAGGGUUGUAAAGUCCUUUCGGCGGGGAAGAUAAUGACGGUACCCGCAGAAGAAGCCCCGGCUAACUUCGUGCCAGCAGCCGCGGUAAUACGAAGGGGGCUAGCGUUGCUCGGAAUCACUGGGCGUAAAGCGCACGUAGGCGGCUUUUUAAGUCAGGGGUGAAAUCCUGGAGCUCAACUCCAGAACUGCCUUUGAUACUGAGAAGCUUGAGUCCGGGAGAGGUGAGUGGAACUGCGAGUGUAGAGGUGAAAUUCGUAGAUAUUCGCAAGAACACCAGUGGCGAAGCGGCUCACUGGCCCGGUACUGACGCUGAGUGCGAAAGCGUGGGGAGCAAACAGGAUUAGAUACCCUGUAGUCCACGCUGUAAACGAAGAUGCUAGCCGUUGUCGGGUUUACUCGUCAGUGGCGCAGCUAACGCAUUAGCAUCCCGCUGGGGAGUACGGUCGCAAGAUUAAAACUCAAAGGAAUUGACGGGGGCCCGCACAAGCGGGCAUGGUCAAUUCGAAGCACGCGAAA